AUUGAACGCUGGCGGCAGGCUUAACACAUGCAAGUCGAGCGGGGUGAUGGUGCUUGCACUAUCACUUAGCGGCGGACGGGUGAGUAAUGCUUAGGAAUCUGCCUAUUAGUGGGGGACGACAUCUCGAAAGGGAUGCUAAUACCGCAUACGUCCUACGGGAGAAAGCAGGGGAUCACUUGUGACCUUGCGCUAAUAGAUGAGCCUAAGUCAGAUUAGCUAGUUGGUGGGGUAAAGGCCUACCAAGGCGACGAUCUGUAGCGGGUCUGAGAGGAUGAUCCGCCACACUGGGACUGAGACACGGCCCAGACUCCUACGGGAGGCAGCAGUGGGGAAUAUUGGACAAUGGGGGGAACCCUGAUCCAGCCAUGCCGCGUGUGUGAAGAAGGCCUUAUGGUUGUAAAGCACUUUAAGCGAGGAGGAGGCCCUUUUGGUUAAUACCCAAGAUGAGUGGACGUUACUCGCAGAAUAAGCACCGGCUAACUCUGUGCCAGCAGCCGCAGUAA
rnacentral:rRNA from 1 species